AUUAAACACAAUUGCGGCGGGGACUGAAAACACAUUGCAACGAGAUGGUUUUCAGCUGACAUUCUGUGGUUUCAAUAAAUUUAAUUUUGUAGUGAAAUCUUUUCGUGUGCUAUAUUUGUGAGUACUUGCCAAAAUCAAUAAUGUUGAAUGACUGUGCGAAUAAUUAAAAUUAUAUGCACAAUGAAUGAGAUGUACAUUGAGGUUAACCAGCGGUUGAACAAGAGUUGGUGAGCGCUAGGUCGAACGUGACCCUUAAGGAGUUUGGUUUCCACAGAACAUGUCUUCAAUGGCUCAACUAAAGGGCCAAGUUAAAGGAAGAUAACAGUAUUUUUCGAGGAGAGCGCCAAUAAACGAAGAAACACGAAAUGCAACGAAAUGGUUGAAUAAAUACUAAAAUCGAAGUACCUAUCAUAAUAUGUCGACUGGUCGCAUAAAAUAGGCGCAUCGACAGUAAGAGAGAUUAUUUACGAUACUCCCAAUGCCUUAUGGACAUGAGCCAUGAGCACUGAGCAUGAAUGGAAAAAUAUAUCAGAGAGGUUUGUAAUAACCGGGAUACCGAGUUGUAUUGGGGCGGUUGAUGGCAAACAUAUAAAAAUAGUUUAUCCAGCACUCAGCAGAUCCUUGUUCUACAAAUACAAAAAAUGUAUGAUGUCGUGCUAAUGACAGCUUGCGAUUCCAACUACGCGUUUACUUUUGUAGACGUGGUUGCGAUGCGAAGCAAGACUGAUUGUGAAAUUUUCUCACACAGUUCAUUUGGAAAAAUGAUUUUAUAUUUCGCCAGAUGAUGCAAUUCCUGAGCAGAAACCACUCUCCAAUAUUAUUUUGUUUCUGGAUAAUGCAUUCUCAUUAAAGCACAACUUGAUGCGUCCAUGUCCUGGCCGGAACUUAUUAGUUAAACAAUGACAACUUCAACAUAAAAUUAUUAGUUGCAUAUUGAAAAUGAAUUUAGAUUUUUGGCUGGCAGGUGGAGAGUUCUACACACUAAUAUUCGCGCAGCACCAAAAAAUUUAGAUAUAAUUGUCUUAGCGAAAAUUGUGCUGCAUAACUAUCUAAUGGUCGAUAGGGAGAGUGGAUAUUUCAGCGACGAGCUCAUUACCGACCUCGAAAACGGUUACAGGUACCAGGAACUUGGAGAGAAUCCCACGCUGGCCUACCUUCCUACAGAAUUGCAAAAGCGAAUCGGUCUUCUGGAAAUGCAUUCAGGAGUAGAGACACACUGGCCGAUAUACUAUUUAAUAAUUGAGGAAAGAUUAACUAUUCCCCUUUAUUUAAUUUGCGAUAGUAAUCCACCUCAUUUCAACAGUACUCAAAAACUGACAAUAUGCGUACAACUUUUAACUAAGGGAGUGGGAAACCAGGAAACCACGACACAACGUAUAAUACCUUGCAUAAUUGCAUCAUACCUCUGUACCACAAUCACCGAACGUUUCUGCUGCGUGGUAACAAAUGCCCACAUACCAAAUUAAAAUACCGCAACGACAAUAAACUGUAUUGCAUCCUGUUCCUGCGUAUUGAAAACUUUCGUUCCAUUUUUU